UGAUCAAUAUGAUUGAUAUUUUGCACGCCUU
rnacentral:piRNA from 1 species